GCCCAGAGCGCAUGUACUGACAAACGGUGGGGAAAAAACAGCCGCACAGAGCGACUGCAUGCUGCCAGCACAGAAGCAAUGAGCUAGAGCAGGGAGAGAGAGAGCCCUGAGAUACCUGCCAAGACUGAAACCCCUGUGUCUGAGCAAGGGGCUGCAGAUCUUUUCCAAAUUGAACAAGGGAAAAAUGAACGAGCCUUAAAUAGAUAUGCAGAUAUGCAGGGCAUACAGAUACAGACUCUGCAUUCUACUUGUUAUUCUGUGUAGUAGGAAGAUUCCAGGGCAGCUCACAGGAAUCAGUUCUUAUCAGUGCAGCUUUUUGCUUUGCCAGAAAUGUGCAGAGUAAUUGAAGAGAGCCACAGUGGGUGAAGGGAUACUGAAAAUGUACAUUACUCUGGGAUAUAUUAUUUGGACUUAGCAUAAAUUUUGCACUGUCUGUUUGUCAUUCUUCCUCAUGCCUGCUGUCGGAAAUGCGUCAGGAGACAAAAGCAAGCCUAAUUGACAGCUCUGGGGAGGCUGAAGGAUCACAGAAAAUAAGGCUAGAGGAGUUGAGAGAUGCUAUAAGUCAUCCUUUCCAUCCCCAAUGUAGAUCAGCUAAAUCCUGGGCCAUUCCUCAUGGUUGCCUCAACGUUCCUGAAAACAAGACAAUUUCCACUGUGCAUAAAAUAGCCUGAGUCAGGAGCAUCAGAUCAGAGAUCACCUUUUUGCACCCAGCUGCUGAAGCUGUCAUCGUACUCUGGGUACAUUUAUUUAACCAAAGUAACAGGGCAGUGAUCGCUGCAGAGAACUGGAACUUCCUUUCUUCAUUCAAAGAACUAAAGUUGCUAUUGUUGUAAAAAUAUCGAACUAAUUCUUUUCCACCAAAGGAACACUAGGUGAUGACUGACCUUUACAUGAAACAAUGUGAAUAUGUGAAAGAUGGCACAAGAGCAGAGGAAAGAGAAGUGCUGAAGUGAAUUUUUCUUUGCAGUACAUGUAGAAAUUUUCCAUUCUCAGUCAGAACAAAGAUGAAACUUGCAAUCACAAAAAUCUGCUUUGAAUUUAAUGGGAAAUGGGGGAAAACAAACCAAAACAAAACACAAGACCAGAGGGACUUUGAAAUGAUUCUGAAGAUUUUCUUUGUGUUAUGUAUGUUACAGCAGCAUUGAGUUUCUGCCUUGAAAAACUGAUUUGAUAUUUUAGCUUGUUAUUCCAAGUGUCAGUACCAAUGAUAGGAAAGAAAAUAAACUGAUUUUCUUAAAAUGCAGUGUUUUAAUUGAAUGCACUGAAAUAUUAUGAACCAUAAUUCCAUUGAAUUUUUCUAAGUGCUUUCUGUGAAACAUAGUAUAAUGACAUUUGCAUUUUACAAGAAAAGUGCAUUAGCUACUUUUAUAUGAGAAAGAGAGGUUAAUUCAAUUCUGGACCGUAAUGGAGGUUAAACGUAAAGCUUUAAUGUUCUGGAGUUCAUCCCAAAAUAAUAAUUCUGCUAAUGAAAUAACUCAUUUGUAAUUCAACCAGACAAAAUGGAAGCAUUUUUGAAGCUGUGUCUACAAGAAUUGAUUGCUUAACACUUAUGCAUCAGCUUAAAUCUCAGCCCUAUUUGGA